AUCAUUCUACUUCAUGUUUAUCACUAUUGUUUUUUUCGCUCGUUCUCAAUAUUCUAACUUAAAUUUGAUAAUUGGAGAUGACUUAAUAGGAAAUGCACAAGUGGACCCCAAGUGGGGGAAUCUCCUAUAUUUUUUAGAUACUAGCUGCUCUCAUAACACUGAAAUACUAGACAUGUUUUUUUUUUCUUUCCAUGAUCAAUAGGAAUUGCUAAGUUUAUCAUUGCCAUCAUUAACAUUAUCAGUGUAUAAACUAGCCAUAAUAAUUUGCGCGUUUUCUGGUGGUUAAACAAAUAGGAUUGUCCUUGCUUCCUAUUUCUUUUAUCACAUACUGACCUCUAUUUUUGUUAUUGCAAUUUCUGUUUACUGUCUUAUGCUGUGAGAUUGAGAUAACGGAGUUAGAUUAAUUCGCUCAAGCUGCUUUUUGUGGAUAUAUUUCUCUGAACCGUAUUCAGAGCCGCAUGUUUCAUACUAUUUAAUACACUAAUGAAAAUAUACUAGUUUGUGCUCCAACAGGAGCUGGCAAAACAAACAUAGCUAUGAUUUCUAUUCUACAUGAGGUAUGCAAAUGAUUGGCUAUUCCUGGGUCUCUAUUCUCAUUUUUGAUUGCACAGCACUUCAAAGACGGUUACUUGCAUAAAGAUGAAUUUAAGAUAGUUUAUGUUGCACCAAUGAAGGCAUUAGCUGCAGAAGUUACAUCAACUUUUAGCCAUCGCUUAUCUCCAUUGAAUAUGACUGUGAGAGAACUUACUGGAGGCAUGCAACUUUCUAAGAAUGAACUUGAAGAAACUCAGAUGAUAGUCACAACGCCUGAGAAAUGGAAUGUCAUUACUCACAAGAGCAGUGACAUGUCACUUUCAAUGUUGGUGAAGAUCCUAAUUAUUGAUUAAGUGCAUCUAUUAAAUGAUGAUGGAGGCCCUGUAAUUGAGGCACUAGUUGCUUGAACUUUGCGCCAGGUGGAGUCUACACAGACAAUGAUACGCAUUGUAGGCCCUUCAGCCACUCUACCGAACUAUUUGGAGGUUGCUACAGUUUCUGAGAGUGAAUCCAGAAGCAGGAUCUUCUUCUUUAAUUCUAGUUAUCGCCCUGUGCGCCUCGCACAGCAAUAUAUUGGUAUUAGUGAGCAGAAUUUUACAGCCCAUAUUGAAUUGCAGAAUGAGAUACGCUACAAGAAGUUUGUUGAAUCACUCAGGAAAGGUUAUCAGGCAAUGUUUAUUAGUUCCUUGAAAGACAAUUUAAAUGCAGAGGUGGCACUUGGUACUGUCACCAAUGUCAAGGAAGCUUGUGAAUGGCUUGGAUAUACGUAACUUUUCAUAAGGAUGAGGCUGAAUCCUUUGGUGUAUGGUAUUGGGUGGGAUGAGGUUGUUGCUGAUCCUUCCUUGAGUUUAAAGCAAAGAGCUCUCAUAGCAGAUGCUGCACGUUCCCUGGACAAAGCAAAAAUGAUGCGCUUUGAUGAGAAAAGUGGCAACUUUUUGUACAGAGCUUGGUCGAAUUGCAAGCCACUUUUAUAUUCAAUAUUCAAGUGUUGAAACAUAGAAUGAAAUGUUGAGACGCCACAUGAAGGUAAUAGACAUGGUAGCCCACUCUUCAGAAAUUGAAAAUAUUGUUCUUCGAGAUGAGGAACAGAAUGAGCUAGAGACGUUGGUGCGAUCAUCGUGCCCAUUAGAAGUUAAGGGGGCUCCUUCUAAAAAACAUGGAAAGAUAUCCAUUCUCAUUCAGGUUAUUUAUAUAGCUCCUUUGAAGGCUAUUGUUAGGCCAUCGCUGGUCCCAUCACAUUGAUCAAUGGCGUCGCAGCCCCCUCCUUCGCUGGUCCUUAUUCUGUCUCGGGAUGCCCUCCCCUCCCCACCAGUUUAGGAUUUGGAUUAUCUUGCAUCGGAUCCAUCUAUCUGGUGGCUUCAUUAUCCUUCAUCAUCCAAACAAACAAGUUGUCAACUUUUAGUGGCAGUUAUUACCGCUGCGAAAGGUGUAAAAACCGUCAGAAAAUAAUAAAAACUGUCAUUUAAGACA